GCGGGCGUGGCGGAACUGGCAGACGCGCAAGAUUUAGGUUCUUGUGUCUUAUGACGUAUGGGUUCGAGUCCCUUCGCCCGCA
rnacentral:tRNA from 1 species